ACUAGGGAUCGGNCGAACUCAAAUUGAUGUGUCGCUCGGCACCUUACGAGAAAUCNUAGUCCUUGGGUUCUGGGGGGAGUAUGGUCGCAAGGCUGAAACUUAAAGGAAUUGACGGAAGGGCACCACCAGGUGUGGAGCCUGCGGCUUAAUUUGACUCAACACGGGGAAACUCACCAGGUCCAGACAUAGCUAGGAUUGACAGAUUGAUAGCUCUUUCUUGAUUCUAUGG
rnacentral:rRNA from 1 species